rnacentral:rRNA from 1 species
GGUAAUGGAUAGGACUCGGUUCUAUUUUGUUGGUUUUCGGAAUCUGAGGUAAUGAUCAAUGGGGACAGGCGGGGGCAUUCGUAUUGCGACGUUAGAGGUGAAAUUCUUGGAUCGUCGCAAGACGGACCGAAGCGAAAGCAUUUGCCAAGUAUGUUCUCGUCGAUCAAGAACGAAAGUUAGAGGUUCGAAGGCGAUCAGAUACCGCCCUAGUUCUAACCAUAAACUAUGCCUGCCAGCGAUCCGCCGAAGUUCCUCCGAUGACUCGGCGGGCAGCUUCCGGGAAACCAGAGCUUUUGGGUUCCGGGGGAAGUAUGGUUGCAAAGCUGAAACUUAAAGGAAUUGACGGAAGGGCACCACCAGGAGUGGAGCCUGCGGCUUAAUUUGACUCAACACGGGAAAACUCACCAGGCCCGGACACCGGAAGGAUUGACAGAUUGAGAGCUCUUUCUUGAUUCGGUGGGUGGUGGUGCAUGGCCGUUCUUAGUUGGUGGAGCGAUUUGUCUGGUUAAUUCCGAUAACGAACGAGACUCUAGCCUACUAACUAGGCGUACCCGGUAUCCACAAUCGUGCUACCGGCGAUCAAAUUUCUUCUUAGAGGGACAGGCGGCUUCUAGCCGCACGAGACUGAGCAAUAACAGGUCUGUGAUGCCCUUAGAUGUCCUGGGCCGCACGCGCGCUACACUGAAGGAAUCAGCGUGUCUUCCCUGUCCGAAAGGACCGGGUAAUCCGCUGAACCUCCUUUGUGCUAGGGAUUGGGGCUUGCAAUUGUUCCCCAUGAACGAGGAAUUCCCAGUAAGCGCGAGUCAUAAGCUCGCGUUGAUAUCCCCCCCGGCCCCCCUAA